UGGAGCGGCCGAUGGCUAAUGGCAUCUGAGCAGUUCCAGAGGCCAGGAGAAUCUUCUGGAAUGGUCGAGGAAUCCAGAGUAUUGAGUCUUAAACUUCAGUGCCGCUUGCAAGAUGACCUCUGGAUUCCAAGCCUCUCCAAAUCAAACCUGAUGACUAUGGUCCAGUCCAAUCUCGUGGAGAAAGAGCUGCGCUAACGUGGGCUCUAGGAAGCUAUUCCAAAACCCAUGAAAGGUCUGAGGACAUCUGUAAUCAUGAUGAAUAUUGGAUGCGGCCGCUUCACUGUUAAAUAAAACAUCUCGUCCAAUGCACCUACUUUACAGGACAAUUCAUUACUUGCAUUUAUUUAAAAUUUAAAAAGUUCUUCCUGCAAGUGACCAUCGAUUAGCCGUUCCACUUAUCAUUAAUCAUUGUGGUAUAAAACCACAACAUCAAUAAUCUGAUCCUUCCACUGGUGCACUGUGAGGUUGAAAGCUUAGCCAAAAAAAAAUUAGUGAACUGUCAAUUUUAGAAACUCUUUGCAACCAGAAAUAAAUCAGCUUAUUGCAAAGCACAAUAUUAGCUUUAAGAAUUUCAGUAAUGAUCUCUGU